rnacentral:rRNA from 1 species
UACGAAGGGGGCUAGCGUUGUUCGGAUUUACUGGGCGUAAAGCGCACGUAGGCGGAUCGAUCAGUCAGGGGUGAAAUCCCAGGGCUCAACCCUGGAACUGCCUUUGAUACUGUCGAUCUGGAGUAUGGAAGAGGUGAGUGGAAUUCCGAGUGUAGAGGUGAAAUUCGUAGAUAUUCGGAGGAACACCAGUGGCGAAAGCGGCUCACUGGACCAUUACUGACGCUGAGGCACGAAAGCUAGGGGAGCAAACAGG